CCUGAGAUCGGACGAGAUUACCCGCUGAAU
rnacentral:rRNA from 1 species